UUAAAAGGAGGUGAUGGAGUUCACCUUUAACCGCCUUAAUGGCUGAUAACUCCUACAAAUUU
rnacentral:ncRNA from 2 species